CAAAAUGACUCUGGAUAUCUCGGCUCUCGCAUCGAUGAAGAAUGUAGCGAAAUGCGAUACUUGGUGUGAAUUGCAGAAUCCCGUGAACCAUCGAGUUUUUUAACACAAGUUGCGCCUGAAGCCAUUAGGCC
rnacentral:rRNA from 1 species